UUAACCGUUUGAGUGCCACGUGUCUUUGCUGUUUUCCCGUCCAAAAGUGCCCAGCGGCGCGAUAGCGCUUGUCUUAUUCCCUCUUCAAGAAUGCCAAGGAGCGCUAUUGCGCUAAAGUCGCGCAUCGACAAAAACCGAGCGUGUCGCGAUUAUCGGUUUCGCAGCCUAGAGCGCUGGCACUGUUCGAGAGACAGAGGAGAAGCGCAAAAUCGCUCCGUGGCACUCAAACGAACACCCAACGCAACAACACAACUACGUCGAUUUCUCUUUGCCCCGUUAAACGAGAGAGAGAGAGAGAGAGAGAGAGAGCGCCAGGACAGGACAUUCUAUAUACCAAGAGUAUAGAAUUUAAGUAAAGCAAAAACAUACUUGUCCGUGAAACUCUAUCCAAGUUUUGUAGUAAGUAGCUUCUAACCAUGCCAGUUAUACACCGUCGCUACGCUCGUAACCUCCUCGACUGGGGUACCGUAAAUCAAUUUUUCCUCGUAGAUAAGCCGUUAUCGAAAAUGUGUGUUGUUUUAAACGAGUGAUGAAAAGGUUUCGAUAGGUAUGGCGUUAUUUGAACAAAGCUCGGAGAAACGGGGAAAUAUCGAUCGUCGAAGACUCAUGGGAGGUGGUAAAAAUGGGGUUUUACGAGAUUACCAUAAAACAACGGGACAAACAAUUUCAAGAAUGAACAGAAAUAAUGCAACAACGUCAUCGAUAAUAAUCAAUUGGACAAAUACAAAACAAAUGUUUUAUUAACGAUUAGAACGAUAAUGGAUUGAAUUCUUAUUCUAUUGAAUAAAAAAUUCCAAUGAAAAUCCCAUUGAUUGGAAAUAUUUAAAUUUAUCAUACACUUUUUAUAAUGGAAUUAUAUUUCUGAUAAUAUUAUUUGUAUGUGAUAAACAAUUUGUUGUUUUAAGAAUGAACGUGAAUAAUGCAACAACGUUAUCGAUAGAAAUGAAUUGAACAAAUACAAAUAUUUUAUUAAGGAUUAAAACGAUAAUGGAGAAUAAAAGAAUAAAACACCAUUGAAAUUACAAUACACGAACGUUAAACGUAAAUCUGUCAUAUGCUUUAUUUUUUUUUUAUGAUUGAAAUAGAUUUUUGAUAUCAUUUUUCUAAGA